rnacentral:hammerhead_ribozyme from 1 species
AUACAGAAGACGAGCCCCAAAUGGGACGAAAUGCGCAUCCUGGAU